UGUUCGAAUUUUCGAAUUGGU
rnacentral:piRNA from 1 species